rnacentral:rRNA from 1 species
CAGCGCGCGGGUCCGCCUGAGAGCGCCGGCCACACUGGGACUGAGACCGGCCCAGACUCCUCGGGAGGCAGCAGUGGGGAAUAUUGCACAAUGGGCGAAAGCCUGAUGCAGCGACGCCGCGUGAGGGAUGACGGCCUUCGGGUUGUAAACCUCUUUCAGCAGGGAAAGAAGCGAAAGUGACGGUUCCUGCAGAAGAAGCGCCGGCUAACUACGUGCCAGCAGCCGCGGGUAAUACGUAGGGGCGCAAAGCGUUUGUCCGGGAAUUAUUGGGCGUAAAGAGCUCGUAGGCGGCUUGUCACGUCGGAUGUGAAAGCCCGAGGCUUUAACCUCGGGUCUGCAUUCGAUCGGGCUAGCUAGAGUGUGGUAGGGGAGAUCGGAAUUCCUGGUGUAGCGGUGAAAUGCGCAGAUAUCAGGAGGAACACCGGUGGCGAAGGCGGAUCUCUGGGCCAUUACUGACGCUGAGGAGCGAAAGCGUGGGGAGCGAACAGGAUUAGAUACCCUGGUAGUCCACGCCGUAAACGUUGGGAACUAGGUGUUGGCGACAUUCCACGUCGUCGGUGCCGCAGCUAACGCAUUAAGUUCCCCGCCUGGGGAGUACGGCCGCAAGGCUAAACUCAAGGAAUUGACGGGGGCCCGCACAAGCGGCGGAGCAUGUGGCUUAAUUCGACGCAACGCGAAGAACCUUACCAAGGCUUGACAAUAUACCGGGAAAGCAUUAGAGAUAGUGCCCCCCUUGUGGUCGGUAUACAGGUGGUGCAUGGCUGUCGUCAGCUCGUGUCGUGAGAUGUUGGGUUAAGUCCCGCAACGAGCGCAACCCUUGUCCUGUGUUGCCAGCAUGCCCUUCGGGGUGAUGGGGACUCACAGGAGACCGCCGGGGUCAACUCGGAGGAAGGUGGGGACGACGUCAAGUCAUCAUGCCCCUUAUGUCUUGGCUGCACACGUGCUACAAUGGCCGGUACAAUGAGCUGCGAUACCGUGAGGUGGAGCGAAUCUCAAAAGCCGGUCUCAGUUCGGAUUGGGGUCUGCAAACUCGACCCCAUGAAGUCGGAGUCGCUAGUAAUCGCAGAUCAGCAUUGCCUGCGGUGAAUACUGUUCCCGGGCCUUGUACACACCGCCCGUCACGUCACGAAAGUCCGGUAACACCCGAAGCCGGUGGCCCAACCCUUGUGGAGGGAGCUGUCGAAGGUGGGACUUGGCGAUUGGGACGAAGUCGUAACAAAGGGUACAAGG